rnacentral:tRNA from 1 species
GCGGGUGUAAGUUAAUGGUAAGCUGCCGGUCUCCAAAACCGGAAUUCCUAGUUCGAAUCUAGGCGCCCGUG